rnacentral:rRNA from 1 species
GAUGAACGCUAGCGACAGGCCUAACACAUGCAAGUCGAGGGGCAGCAUGAAAGUAGCUUGCUACUUUUGAUGGCGACCGGCGCACGGGUGCGUAACAGGUGUGCAAUCUGUCCAUAAUCAGGGAAUAGCCCAGCGAAAGUUGGAUUAAUGCUCCAUGUGAGUUUUAGAGGCAUCUCUUUAAUUUGAAACGUAAGGAUUAUGGGUGAGCACGCUUCUGAUUAGGUAGUUGGUGAGGUAACGGCUCACCAAGCCGACGAUCAGUAGGGGUUCUGAGAGGAAGGCCCCCCACAUUGGAACUGAGACACGGUCCAAACUCCUACGGGAGGCAGCAGUGAGGAAUAUUGGUCAAUGGACGCAAGUCUGAACCAGCCAAGUCGCGUGAAGGAUGAAGGUUCUAUGGAUUGUAAACUUCUUUUGUCUGAGGGUAAAAAAGCGGACGUGUCCGUUCUUGCAAGUAUCAGACGAAUAAGCAUCGGCUAACUCCGUGCCAGCAGCCGCGGUAAUAC